GUUGCCUAUAUAUGUAUUUAUUGAAAACAUUUGUUGGUGUAUGUUGUAAUUUUGUUUCUUGCCAGUUCAGUUUUCGGUCCUGAAAUGCUAUUGUUAUGGAACAACACUUUGGUAACUUUAAUGGACUGGCAUGAGUUUGUAUUGCGUUGGGGUACAUUACCUGAGAAAACGUUUGCUUUUUGCCUGCAUCUUUUUCUUUGUUUUUUCUUUGUGUUUAAAUUUGCCCAGAACUUGAAAUUUGUGUCUACUUUAGAAUAGUAAAAUCCCUUGGUUUCUAGCAUUAUGACCUUUUUAUGUUUAAUGUGAAACUUUUGCUCCAGGAAAUUAGAGGAUGGUGAUAUAAUCAAUGUUGAUGUGACUGUGUAUUAUAAAGGCGUCCAUGGUAAUUUGUAUUCUAGACAUUAACAUGUAGUUCAAUUUUGAAAACACGUGUUCUAUUCUUGAACUGCCGAACUCAUAUUGCAGGUGAUUUAAAUGAAACAUACUUUGUGGGAAAUGUUGAUGAAGAGUCUCAACGGCUAGUCCAAUCUACUUAUGAGAGCAUGGAGAAAGCAAUAUCCAUCGGUAUGUGUACAGUAUGAUAUACCAAUUUUAAGAUAAAUAUCUCUCCCUGAUCUCCCUUUUUAACGCAUCCAUCACUAAUUAUUGCUUUAACAAUCAUGCAACUCAAUUAUAUCACUGAAAGUCAUCACACCUUUUAUCAGCUACCUAGUAUUCAUUUAUAUGGUAUACUUAUCGUUUUAUCUGAUGUUGCUUUUUAUUACUUUUGGUACCAUGGAAGUUGUAAUUUAUAAGUAAUCAUUGUUAAAAUGUAUUUGUGGUUGUGUUUGCUUAAUUGUAUCAGUAAAUUCUGUGAAGAUUUUUUAGUUAUAAGUGCAAUCUUGUCACCUGACCUGAUGGCAACUGAAAUGUUGAAAAGUCAACCUAUUUAACCCCUAUUUGAGAGUGCACUCUAGUAAUUUCAAUCGUUGUUAACAAAAAGCAUAAAAGGAAAAGUAGAUUUCUAAUUUAUUUAUUUAUUUUUGUACAAGUGCAGUAAAACCUGGAAUGCGAUUCCGUGAAGUUGGUGAAGUCAUUAAUCGCCAUGUAACUAUGUCGGGAUUCUCUGUGGUAAUUUGUAGCCUGAGUUUUGAGUUGUGAUGCAUUUUCAAUUUUAACAAAUCAUGCCUAUUAAUUUUGUAUUGCACCAACAGGUGAAAUCAAUUUGUGGUCAUGGUAUUGGGGAGCUUUUUCAUUGUGCACCAAAUAUUCCCCAUUACACAAGUAUGUUCAACAAAGAAACUUCUUUAUAUCUGAAUUACACUUUUAAUAGCUUGCACCUUUUACAUACAUUACCUUUACCCAAACAGGAAACAAAGCAGUUGGUGUAAUGAAAGCUGGACAGACUUUUACAAUUGAACCCAUGAUAAAUGCAGGUAUAUUUCAAAGCUUGUUUUAUGAGCACAUGGGGGGUGAUAUGUUCGUUAAUUGUUUGCUACAUCUUAAUAAAAUAAAUAAAACAUGAACAGGGGUUUGGCGUGAUCGGAUGUGGCCUGAUGGAUGGACAGCUGUUACAGCAGAUGGCCAGCGCAGUGCACAGUUUGAGCACACACUUCUGGUAACUAUGCAGUUUAUGUUCUAUGUGUAGCAUGCUUUCAACUUCUGCAACGGUGACUGCAUUAUAGUUAUUGGAAGUGCUUAUGCGGUUUUAAUACUCAAAUUCCAUGGAAUGAUCUCUACAUGUUCUUUUAACAUUUCUUCCAUAUGUUUCUUAUAAUAUCAUUAGUGAGGUUUGUUCUAGGGUAUAAAUCAGUCAGCUCAUUUGUGUAAAAGAAAAUAAAUAAGUCUUCUACUCAAUAUAGUAACGAUGGAUAAUACUCGAUUAUUGAUGGUAUGAGGAUAGUAAAGGUGAUAGAGAUCUUUGCAGCGGGAGAUUUACAGGAUUUAGAUAUCAAAUUAUCCCAACAUUGAAUUGCAAUGCUAUGCAUCUAUUAACAAAUACACUAAGUAAUAGUUGGCGUUGCAUGGAUAUUAGUCCGAGUUAAUCCUUGUUAUUCACAUUUGUUUGCUGAAUUGCUAUCUAUACGAUGAUCUUGUAUCUCUAAUCUCAUGGUUUAUUCUUCCUACACAUGCAUAGGUGACAGAGACUGGAGUUGAAGUUCUUACAGCUCGGUUGCCAUCAUCACCCAAAGUGUUCCCUUGGUUAAAUGCUUAAUGACUGCGUCCGUCUUGGUUCAUCGAAAGAAGGUGAACAGGUAAGGAUGUAAUUCAGGAUGUAAUGUUACUCCAUGCAUUAGUAAAGAAGAUAAUCAUUGUGUAACUUUACUUCUUAAGUUUUGGUUAAAUUAAAAAUGAAUUAAGUAAAUUGUUUGUAAUCGUUAAUUGAAGCUUAAGAAGUUUUAUGAAAUUAUUUUUGGUCGUUUGCAAGAGUUCAUGAAUCAUUCAUGAAGAAUUGUAUCAUUGUGAAGGAAUUGUAUCGUGUCCAACAUGUAUGAUGCCCAACUGCUUGUGAAUUUCUACAGAGUUUGCAUUUUGGGAAAUAUUUUGUGCUAAUGAAGCAGUGUGAGCCUUCUUGAUGCCGUAUUAUUUCACUUUUAUUAUCUGUUGUACUUUCAGCACUGCAAAAAAAUUAACAUUUGCUAUUUAUCUGAAUGUGAGACAAUGUUAUUAUACCGUUUUGAAUAUGUUCAAGAAGAAUUUUCUGUGUUCAGUUUAAAUUUUAAUUAAUCUUGCUAUGGCAUGUAACUCUUAAUUUACUAAUAUUAUGAUGUUCUUGUCAUAAUCGUUUUGUUAGAUUGCAAGGGAGGUUUUAGAAACCGCUGCUCGUGUAAUACGGCCUGGUAUCACAACAGAUGAAAUUGAUCGGGUGGUCCAUGAGGCUACUAUUGCUGCUGUUAUAGACUGAGUUUCCAUUUUAUUUAGAAUUUCAAUUACUAUGUUUCAUUGUCUAUUAUUGUAAUUGUCUAUGCCUUUACCUUUCAAGUGUAUGGCCAAACCUCAUUGAUCUGUCAUAUGCUUUGGAAUGGCCAUGUGGUUAUAAUCAUUACUAUCUGCAUUUUUAUAUUGUUCAGAAUAAAAAAUUGUGGGUGUAAUGAUGUUUCACUUUUAACUCAAUGCAGGUGGAUAUCCAUCUCCUCUCAACUACCAUUUUUUCCCCAAGUCUUGCUGCACGUAGGUACUUUUUGCGUAAAUAUUUUUGUGAAGUUUCUUGAGAUUGUGUGGUACUGACCUUGCAAUUGCGUCUUGUUAUCUCUCUUCAUUGCAGGUCAGUCAAUGAAGUAAUUUGCCAUGGUAUUCCUGAUGCCAGGUAUGCGUAUGAGAUUUUUUUUUUUUAUUUGAGAUUUUGUUUUUAUUUUUGUUUGGAGGAUAGUAUUGAAAAGGAAUAUGGACAUACUCUUACUGUUGCCUAUAUAUGUAUUUAUUGAAAACAUUUGUUGGUGUAUGUUGUAAUUUUGUUUCUUGCCAGUUCAGUUUUCGGUCCUGAAAUACUAUUGUUAUGGAACAACACUUUGGUAACUUUAAUGAACUGGCAUGAGUUUGUAUUGCGUUGGGGUACAUUACCUGGGAAAACGCUUUGCUUUUUGCCUGCAUCUUUUUCUUUGUGUUUAAAUUGGUCCAGAACUUGAAAUUUGUGUCUACUUUAGAAUAGUAAAAUCCCUUGGUUUCUAGCAUUAUGACCUUUUUAUGUUUAAUGUGAAACUUUUGCUCCAGGAAAUUAGAGGAUGGUGAUAUAAUCAAUGUUGAUGUGACUGUGUAUUAUAAAGGCG
rnacentral:lncRNA from 1 species